rnacentral:rRNA from 1 species
AUUGAACGCUGGCGGAAUGCUUUACACAUGCAAGUCGAGCGGCAGCACGGGGGCAACCCUGGUGGCGAGCGGCGAACGGGUGAGUAAUACAUCGGAACAUGCCCAGUCGUGGGGGAUAACACUUCGAAAGAAGUGCUAAUACCGCAUACGUCCUGAGGGAGAAAGCGGGGGAUCGCAAGACCUCGCGCGAUUGGAGUGGCCGAUGUCAGAUUAGCUAGUUGGUGGGGUAAAGGCCUACCAAGGCAACGAUCUGUAGCUGGUCUGAGAGGAUGAUCAGCCACACUGGGACUGAGACACGGCCCAGACUCCUACGGGAGGCAGCAGUGGGGAAUUUUGGACAAUGGGGGCAACCCUGAUCCAGCCAUUCCGCGUGAGUGAAGAAGGCCUUCGGGUUGUAAAGCUCUUUCGGCAGGAACGAAACGGUGAGCUCUAACAUAGCUUGCUAAUGACGGUACCUGAAGAAGAAGCACCGGCUAACUACGUGCCAGCAGCCGCCGUAACAC